rnacentral:rRNA from 1 species
AGAACGAACGUUGGCGGCGUGGUUGAGGCAUGCAAGUCGCACGAGAACGAGGUAGCAAUAUCUCUAGUAAAGUGGCGGAAGGGUGAGGAAUGGGUAGAUAACGUACCCGGAAGAUGGGGAUAACGUUCCGAAAGGAACGCUAAUACCCGAUAAGACCACACUAUGGAAACAUAGAGAGGUCAAAUGCUGGGGAUCUUCGGACCUAGCGCUUUCGGAUCGGUCUGCUCCCUACCAGCUAGUUGGCGGGGUAAUGGCCCACCAAGGCUGCGACGGGUACCCGGGCUGA